GUGCCAGCGCGGUAAUACGGAGAGGGCAAGUGUUAUUCGCAUUGACUGGGUGUAAAGGGUACGUAGGUGGUCUUUUAAGUUUUCGAGUAAAUACUAGGUAUACCAUCUAGAAACUUGUUUAAUACUAUUGGACUAGAGUUUAACGGGGGUUCGCUGAACAUUAAGUGUAGAGGUGAAAUUCUUCAAUAUUUAAAGGGCAUGCAAUAGGCGAAGGCUGCUUUCCACUUUAAAACUGACACUGAGGUACGAAAGCAUGGGGAUCAAACGGG
rnacentral:rRNA from 1 species